rnacentral:rRNA from 1 species
GACGAACGCUGGCGGCGCGCUUAACACAUGCAAGUCGAACGGAAAGGCCUGCUUUCCCUUGUGGAUUGCGGGUACUCGAGUGGCGAACGGGUGAGUAACACGUGAGUGAUCUGCCCCCAACUUGGGUAUAAGCCUGGGAAACUGGGUCUAAUUCCCGAUAGGGCUGCAGGGUGGUGCCUGUGGUGGAAAACGAUUUUCUAGUGGUUGGGGAUGAGCUCGCGGCCUAUCAGCUUGUUGGUGGGGUAAUGGCCUACCAAGGCGGCGACGGGUAGCCGGCCUGGGAGGGUGGACGGCCACAUUGGGACUGAGAUACGGCCCAGACUCCUACGGGAGGCAGCAGUGGGGAAUAUUGCACAAUGGGCGGAAGCCUGAUGCAGCGACGCCGCGUGGGGGAUGACGGCCUUCGGGUUGUAAACUCCUUUCGACCGCGAGGAAGCCACCUGGUUGGAAGGGUGGUGACGGUAGUGGUAGAAGAAGCACCGGCUAACUACGUG